rnacentral:rRNA from 1 species
UACGUAGGGGGCAAGCGUUGUCCGGAAUCAUUGGGCGUAAAGAGCUCGUAGGCGGUUUGGCAAGUCGGGUGUGAAAACUCCGGGCUCAACUCGGAGACGCCACUCGAUACUGCCAUGACUUGAGUCCGGUAGGGGAGUGCGGAAUUCCUGGUGUAGCGGUGAAAUGCGCAGAUAUCAGGAGGAACACCGGUGGCGAAGGCGGCACUCUGGGCCGGUACUGACGCUGAGGAGCGAAAGCGUGGGGAGCGAACAGGAUUAGAUACCCGCGUAGUCC